rnacentral:rRNA from 1 species
AUUGAACGCUGGCGGCAGGCCUAACACAUGCAAGUCGAGCGGAUGACGGGAGCUUGCUCCUUGAUUCAGCGGCGGACGGGUGAGUAAUGCCUAGGAAUCUGCCUGGUAGUGGGGGACAACGUUUCGAAAGGAACGCUAAUACCGCAUACGUCCUACGGGAGAAAGCAGGGGACCUUCGGGCCUUGCGCUAUCAGAUGAGCCUAGGUCGGAUUAGCUAGUAGGUGAGGUAAUGGCUCACCUAGGCGACGAUCCGUAACUGGUCUGAGAGGAUGAUCAGUCACACUGGAACUGAGACACGGUCCAGAGUCCUACGGGAGGCAGCAGUGGGGAAUAUUGGAGAAUGGGCGAAAGCCUGAUCCAGCCAUGCCGCGUGUGUGAAGAAGGUCUUCGGAUUGUAAAGCACUUUAAGUUGGGAGGAAGGGCAGUAAGUUAAUACCUUGCUGUUUUGACGUUACCGACAGAAUAAGCACCGGCUAACUCUGUGCCAGCCGCCGCGGUAAAAC